rnacentral:rRNA from 1 species
UACGUAGGGAGCAAGCGUUGUCCGGAUUUAUUGGGCGUAAAGAGCUCGUAGGCGGCUUAGAAAGUCAGGUGUGAAACCUCCAGGCUCAACCUGGAGACGCCACUUGAUACUUCUAUGGCUUGAGUUCGGCAGGGGAACACGGAAUUCCUGGUGUAGCGGUGAAAUGCGCAGAUAUCAGGAAGAACACCCGUGGCGAAGGCGGCUCUCUGGGACGGUACUGACGCUGAGACGCGAAAGCGUGGGGAGCGAACAGG